rnacentral:rRNA from 1 species
AGCAUGUGGUUUAAUUCGAAGCAACGCGAAGAACCUUACCAAAUCUUGACAUCCUUUGACAACUCUAGAGAUAGAGCUUUCCCCUUCGGGGGACAAAGUGACAGGUGGUGCAUGGUUGUCGUCAGCUCGUGUCGGGAGAUGUUGGGUUAAGUCCCGCAACGAGCGCAACCCUUAAGCUUAGUUGCCAUCAUUAAGUUGGGCACUCUAAGUUG